rnacentral:rRNA from 1 species
GGAAGGAUCAUUAUCGUAUAAUGGAGGCACCCAAGGUUGUCGCUGACCUUUGUAGGUCGUGCACGCCUAAAGUGCUUUCUCACAUCCAUAUCACCCUUUGUGCAUCACCGCGUGGGGCCUCUUAUCUGGGGUCUUGCGUUUUUAUAAAAGACCAUAAUUUAAUGUAUGUGUAGAAUGUGUUUGCUAUCACACGCAAUCAAUAUAACUUUCAACAACGGAUCUCUUGGCUCUCGCAUCGAUGAAGAACGCAGCGAAAUGCGAUAUGUAAUGUGAAUUGCAGAAUUCAGUGAAUCAUCGAAUCUUUGAACGCACCUUGCGCCCCUUGGUAUUCUGAGGGGCACACCCAUUUGAGUGUUGUGAAACACCCUCAACCUUCUUAGUUUCUUUACAAAGAAGGCUUGGACUUUGGAGGUUUUUAUUUGCUGGCUUUGAUUUAAAGUUGGCUCCUCUUAAAUUAAUUAGUGGGAUCUGUUUUGCUGACCCUUGACGGAAUAAGUAAUGCUGCUACGUCUUGGGUUUUUGCAAUGUCACCGUAGAACCUGCUUCAAAUGGUCUUCAAAUGAAGACAAUGGUCGAGUUGCGUCACAAGUCGUAGCUCGAGCUCAUUGACCUUAACCUCAAAUUGGGUGAGACUACCCGCUGAACUUAAGCAUAUCAAUAAGCGGAGGAAAAGAAACUAACAAGGAUUCCCCUAGUAACUGCGAGUGAAGCGGGAAAAGCUCAAAUUUAAAAUCUGGUGGCCUUUGGCCAUCCGAGUUGUAAUUUAGAGAAGCGUCUUCCGCGCUGGACCAUGCACAAGUCUCCUGGAAUGGAGCGUCAUAGAGGGUGAGAAUCCCGUCUUUAGCAUGAACUACCAGGGCUUCUGUGAUGCGCUCUCGACGAGUCGAGUUGUUUGGGAAUGCAGCUCAAAAUGGGUGGUGAACUCCAUCUAAAGCUAAAUAUUGGCGAGAGACCGAUAGCGAACAAGUACCGUGAGGGAAAGAUGAAAAGCACUUUGGAAAGAGAGUGAAACAGUACGUGAAAUUGUUGAAAGGGAAACGCUUAAAGUCAGUCGCGUCGACCGAGACUCAGCCUUGCUUUGGCUUGGUGUAUUUCUUGGCUGACGGGUCAGCAUCAAUUUUGAUCCUCGGAUAAUGGCAAGGGAAAGGUGGCACCUUUUAGGUGUGUUAUAGUCCUCUGUCGCAUGCGAGGGUUAGGAUUGAGGAACUCAGCAUGCACCUCUGGGUGUCGGGGCUUUGGCUCACGUUACGUGCUUAGGAUGCUGGCAUAAUGGCUUUAAACGACCCGUCUUGAAACACGGACCAAGGAGUCUAACAUACCCGCGAGUGUUUGGGUGGAAAACCCAUGCGCGUAAUGAAAGUAAAAGUUGGGACCUCUGUCGUGGAGGGCACCGAUGCCCGGACCAGACCUUUUGUGACGGCUCUGCGGUAGAGCGUGUAUGUUGGGACCCGAAAGAUGGUGAACUAUGCCUGAAUAGGGUGAAGCCAGAGGAAACUCUGGUGGAGGCUCGUAGCGAU